rnacentral:lncRNA from 1 species
UGAGCAGUGCCAAUUGUCCAGCUUUCCCAGGGUGUGGAGGAGCAGCAUGAUGGGGGCUCCCUGUGCGAGACCAAGGAUUUAAGCUGCUGCUGCUCGGAGUGGUGUGGUUCCCCUUCUGUCUGCAGUAAGCUUGAGGUGGCAGCAGAAGUGGUAGAUUUCAGAUAAUGUCUGCAGGAGAAGAGAACAUGCUUGUGAGUAUCUAACAUCUCUGGCCACCAGCAAUAGCUUACCAGCAGCUUGAGGCCUUUGGGUGCAUGGUAAUGCUAUUCUGUUCCAGGAGCUGGAGCUUGAAAUAAUGCUCUUGAGUGGGGAGGCUUGCUGCUUUGCUCUAUCAAAGGAAACAAAAACUAAAUUGAGCAAGGCAACUCAUGAGGUUUGAUGUAAAGACAAAAGAAAUCUGGCACUCACCCUCUAAUGCUUGGAGAUCUGCUCUUCAUCCUCUGCUCCCUCGAAGCUGCUUCAUUUCAGGUACCCUUAUGCAUCUAGAAGAAAGCGAGUAGCUGCAUUGAAGAAUGUUUUCCAAUAUGUACAAGUUUGUACUGAUAUUGAUGGUUAAAUGUUAUUAAUAAAUGGGAAAGAAU